rnacentral:lncRNA from 1 species
CAGAACAACAGUUGUGAAUGGAGCAGUCUGAGUAAGUUUCUAUGUUUACUUAUUGGAGUGAUGUAACAGCCGAACUAUCUAGUGACACCUGAACCAAUAUUAUUCUGUUUUUUCUCAUUUUCUCGUCCGUCUGUCCGCAGAUCCAAUCUCUCCAAAAUGAAAAUCCAACUUUGCAGACAGAAAACAGUGGAAAAGAAUAAGAAGUCAAUGAAAAGGGUAUUUUCAAAGAGGCUAUACUCUGAACACCAGGUCACGACAUCAAUCCCACUGCAGCCAUUCUCGCUCUCAGGAGGAAUAGAGAGAGCUUUAGUCGUGACUUUGAAUCUACGCCUUCAAGCCUGCUUCUUUACCUCAUUGCAACCUCCUAUUUAGCAUUCACCUCCAGUGUGAAAUAUUUCCACAGGUAUACGCAACAAUAACGUGGGAUGAAUAGGCACAGAGUGGAAUGGAUCUGCCAGCUCUGCAACAUACCUAAUGAGAGUAAAAAGACUGACUUUACGCAACUUCUGGCCAACAUACAAAAAAAAAGGCAAAAAAAUGAAGUUAAUGGGAACCUUUAGCCUCCCUUCAAAAUCCUAUUUAGUCAAGUCAGUUACACUCUUUAUUCUGGCAAAUCAUGUUAAACUCAUAUGUCUUGAAAAUUUGACUUCAAGCAAAAAAAAAGUGUGUACAAACAGUAAAAUGAAUGAAAUCCUGAAGGGGGGAGGUUUGGGAAGAAAAAUUUAAGUUUUGUCUCAAGAAACUUCAGUGACUUCAUAUGAAAAUCCUGGUAAUCAAGUUGUCAACUCUAUCACAUCUAGGACCUGAUUUUCAUCAGUUAAUUUAGCCAUGCUGUGAGCUCCUCAUCAUACUUCUAUACCCACGGCCACUUUAGGACUCACUGUAGAGGGACCGUCAACAAGGGACAAUGCAGCUCCCCUAAUGUGAAGAGCCAUAAAGACAAACUUAUACCAGUUGAUGAGAUAUGGACCCUGGAAAGCCAUUUCCAAUUUAAUCAAAGUCAAUUUAAAACUCUUUCCAAGUGUAUCGAGGUCAGUUAUGGGUGGGCUAUGAUACAAUUACAAUCUUCCCUCUGCUCCAAACGUUCUUUUCGAACAUUUAUCGAAGCUGUACUCAUUUGCAUUCUCUGAUUAAACAGCUUAAUAGCCUCGAUCAACACAGUUAUUUUUUUCCCUUUUAACCAGGUGGUACACAAGUUUAUUUCUGCUAUAAAAUUACAACACAGAGUAGCAUGAAUACAGUUUGAAAUUGGAUGUCCCUUGAAUCUCAGGUGCUAAAAGAAACUAAGCUGUGGCAGGUACUAUAGUUUUCACAUGGUUGUUACCCGUGUGUUAGCUUUAUUAUAUUCCCUAGUGAGCAAAAAUAUCAUAGCGUUUGCUCCUCUGUGUCUUGCUGUUGUUAGAGACAUGUCUGGACUUGUCUGCUUUGACAAGCUGUGAUAUAUAUUGCUGAGAGUAACAUGAGCCAGUGGUUAGACAGACCCAAGACCUGUUUUAAGACAACUGUUCAUGUGUUGCCAUAAAUUCAGGAAGCACCCCUAAUUUGUACCUUGCUCUGUUCAAGAGAAGCACAUGGAAGAAAUGGUUGGUAUUAUUUUACUUUGAAAAAACAAAACUUUUUCAAGUGAAUUUUUUUGCUGGUCAGCUAUGAGGAAUAUAAUUUCCAAGCAAAAUAUAUAUGGGUCAAAAAUCUCUGGCCUGUUGGGGAACAUAAGCUAAAAGUAGAUCACAAUCCAUUGUCCCCUUACUCAUGAGGGUCGAGCGGUCCAGUGCUUAUAAAAAAUAAUGUUCUUUCAAAGCAACUAACCAUGAAAAAAAUAUUCUUGCUUCUAUACAUGGACUUAACAACAUUAUGAAAUCAGAAUUAAAAAGUAGCUGACAAUUUGAGUGCCUGUAUAGCUAUUAUUCACCCCUAUAAUUGUAUUCUGACAACUGUGGUUAGCGAUGUGAAACACCUCAAAGGAGGUUUCUCUGGAUUUCCCACUGUGUGUGAAUGAUGACGCAACGUCACACAGUGAAAGAACCCCCGCUUUAAACUCCAGACUGGCUGACUGCCGAGAUGUCGGGCUCAGGGAUUGGUUUAUAAACAACAAAGAGUGGUGGAGGUGUGGCACGGAUGAUGCAAAAGAGUGAAAGAAACCCAGAGGACUGGCAGUCUGAAUCAGUAGCCGUCCCUUCCUUUCAGAAAUGGUCAUUGUUUCAUUUCCUUCUUUCAUUCACUCUUCAUCCUUCCCUAACUGAAUGAAAGUAAGUUAUUUAGUCUGCCCUGCUCAGUCUGCAGUUUGUUGGUGUGUAAAACAAAAAUUAUUGAACAGAUUUAUUAAAAAUUAUUGAAAAUUAAAUAGCACAUUAUAAGGGGGGAACCAAACUGCUGAUUGGAUUUGUUUAUUAAUGUAGAUUUUUAGGUUUAAUCAAAGAUCAUUCAUUAACUUUACUAAAAGCACUAUUUAAAUUAUGACUAAUUAAAUUCAUUAACAAUGGUUAACUUCCAAAAUGGGAUGUAAUGGUCUGUCCUGUUAUCACUUUAUGACCAUCCGUCUUGACUGCAACUGUGAGAAGCAGUCUGAGCUCUCCACCCUCCUCCAUCUACCUCUGCAGUUUGCUGCAUCUUUGGUUUGAUAUAUUGGUUUGUGAACCAGAUCUGGGAUAGCACAUAUUUUAGCAUAUAAUUCUUUGAGCACUUAGACUUUGUUUCAUUUAAAACAUGUGUCCAUCAUCUGGGCUGUCAUCAACUCUUCUAUUUGUCAAUAGUACAUUUGGCCGGGAGCGACACGGUGGUGUAGUAGUUAGCACUGUUGCCUCAGAGCAAGAAGGUCCUGGGUUCAAAUCUGGGUCAGGGCAUUUCUGUGUGUUUGCAUGUCCUCCCUGUGUCUGUGUGGGUUUACUCCAGGUACUCUGGUUUCCUCCCACAUCCCAAAAACAUGCAGAAGUGGGGUAAGGUUAAUUGGCCACUUUCAAAUUGCCCAUAGCUGUGAACAUGAGAGUGGCGACCCCUUGGCGACCCUGAAUGGGAAUAAGCGGUAGAAAAUGGAUUGAUGGAUGGACCUUCGGCCGAGUUUAUACUUAUGAAGCACGAUGGAGCGGCAAUGUCUGUUGGUUUGUUUAUCUGGCUAAAAAUGUCAGCUAAAAGUAUUUCCAACAAUGUUGUAAAGAUACUGAUAUUCUCCACGGUAAGUUUGACCAAAUAUUUAUAGUAUUGGACUGAUUGAAAAAAAUAAUAUACAACCCCAAUUCCAUUGAAGUUGAGAGAAUGUGUCAAACUUGAAUAAAAAUAGAAAACAAUGAUUUACAAACCUUUUUCAACCUAUAGUCAAUUAAAUACACUACAAAGACAAGAUAUUUGGAGGUCCAACUCAUAAAUUUGAUUGUUUUUUGCAAAUAUUCAUUUUGUUUCAAUUUAAUUCCUGCAACAUGUUCCAAAAAAGUUGGGACAGGUUUAAUGUGAUGUCAUGAAAGGAGCAUCCCUGAAAGGCUCAGUUGUGCACAAGCAAAGAGGCGAGGUUCACCACUUUGUGAACAACUGCAUGAGAAACUAGUCCAACAGUUUAAGAAUGUUUUUCAACAACCAAUUGCAUGAAUUUAGUGAUUUCAUCAUUUACAGUCCGUAAUAUCAUCAUAAGAUUCAGAGAGACCACAGAAAUCUCUGCUAAAAACUAACACUGAGUGCCCGUGACCUUCAACCCUUCAGGCGACACUGUAUUAAAAAUGGACAUCGUUCUGUGAAGAAUUUUACCACGUAGGCUCAGAAACACUUUAGAAAACUAUCGUCAGUUAACACAGUUCAUCUUUACAGCUAUUAGUGCAAGUCCAAACUCUAAACAUGCAAAGCCAAAACCAGAUAUCAACAACUCUCUGAAACGCUGCCAGCUUCUGUG